CUACGGGGUGCACCAGUGAGGAAUAUUGCACAAUGGGGGGAACCCUGAUGCAGCAACGCCGCGUGGAGGAUGACGCAUUUCGGUGUGUAAACUCCUUUUAUAUGUCAAGAAAAUGACGGUAGCAUAUGAAUAAGCACCGGCUAACUCCGUGCCAGCAGCCGCGGUAAUACGGAGGGUGCAAGCGUUACUCGGAAUCACUGGGCGUAAAGGACGCGUAGGCGGGUUGGAAAGUCAGGUGUGAAAUCCUACAGCUUAACUGUAGAACUGCACUUGAAACUUCUAAUCUAGAGUAUGGGAGGGGGAGAUGGAAUUAGUGGUGUAGGGGUAAGAUCCGUAGAUAUCACUAGGAAUACCUAAAGCGAAGGCGAUCUCCUGGAACAUUGCUGACGCUAAGGCGUGAAAGCGUGGGGAGCAAACAGGAUUAGAUACCCCCGUAGUC
rnacentral:rRNA from 1 species